GACGAACGCUGGCGGCGUGCCUAAUACAUGCAAGUAGGACGCAGUUGCGAACGGGUGAGUAACGCGUAGGUAACUACCUAUUAGAGGGGGAUAACUAUUGGAAACGAUAGCUAAUACCGCAUACUCGUAGAUGGACCUGCGUUGUAUUAGGUAGUAGGUAGGGUAAUGGCCUAACUAGGCAACGUGACAUAGCCGACCUGGGAGGGUGAGCGGCCACAAUGGGACUGAGCAACGGCCCAGACUCCUACGGGAGGCAGCAGUAGGGAAGCUUCGGAAAUUGGGGGAACCCUGACCGAGCAACGACGCGUGAGUGAAGAAGGGUUUCGGAUCGUAAAGCUCUGUUGUUAAGGAAGCGUUACUUAACCAGAAAGGGACGGCUAACUACGUGCCAGCCGCCGCGGUAAUAC
rnacentral:rRNA from 1 species